UACGUAGGUGGCAAGCGUUGUCCGGAUUUAUUGGGUUUAAAGGGUGCGUAGGCGGCCCAGUAAGUCAGUGGUGAAAUCUCCCGGCUCAACCGGGAAAUUGCCAUUGAUACUGCUGGGCUUGAAUUACCAGGAAGUAACUAGAAUAUGUAGUGUAGCGGUGAAAUGCUUAGAGAUUACAUGGAAUACCAAUUGCGAAGGCAGGUUACUACUGGUGGAUUGACGCUGAUGGACGAAAGCGUGGGUAGCGAACAGG
rnacentral:rRNA from 1 species